rnacentral:rRNA from 1 species
CCCUUAGAUGUUCUGGGUAGCACGCGCGCUACAAUGGUCUUCGCAAACGGAUGCAUUUUCGAAGGAGAAUGCCAAUCUUGGAAUCUAUGCCUUGGUCGGGACAGUUGCUUGCAAUUUUUCGACUCGAACCAGGAAUUCCUUGUAAUCGUGAUUCAUCACAUCACGAUGAAUACGUCCCUGCCCUUUGUACACACCGCCCGUCGCUCCUACCGAUCGAAGAGUUAGGUGAAUUGUUUUGAUCGAUAAGAUUUGACUAUGGUCAACUCUCGUUGUGAAAUUCUGUGAAUCUGACUGUUUAGAGGAAGGAAAAGUCGUAACA